GACGAACCGUGCGAACGUUGUUCGGAUUCACUGGGCUUAAAGGGCGCGUAGGCGGACGACCAAGUCGGGGGUGAAAUCUUUCAGCCCAACUGGAAAACAGCCCCCGAUACUGGUCGCCUGGAGGGAGGUAGGGGCGCGUGGAACUCAGGGUGGAGCGGUGAAAUGCGUAGAUAUCCCGAGGAACGCCGGUGGCGAAAGCGACGCGCUGGACCUCACCUGACGCUGAGGCGCGAAAGCCAGGGGAGCAAACGGG
rnacentral:rRNA from 1 species